CCUACGGGUGGCAGCAGUGAGGAAUAUUGGUCAAUGGACGAGAGUCUGAACCAGCCAAGUAGCGUGAAGGAUGACUGCCCUAUGGGUUGUAAACUUCUUUUAUAUGGGAAUAAAAUGUUCCACGUGUGGGAUUUUGUAUGUACCAUAUGAAUAAGGAACGGCUAACUCCGUGCCAGCAGCCGCGGUAAUACGGAGGAUCCGAGCGUUAUCCGGAUUUAUUGGGUUUAAAGGGAGCGUAGGUGGAUUGUUAAGGCAGUUGUGAAAGUUUGCGGCUCAACCGUAAAAUUGCAGUUGAAACUGGCAGUCUUGAGUACAGUAGAGGUGGGCGGAAUUCGUGGUGUAGCGGUGAAAUGCUUAGAUAUCACGAAGAACUCCGAUUGCGAAGGCAGUUCACUGGACUGCAACUGACACUGAGGCUCGAAAGUGUGGGUAUCAAACAGGAUUAGAUACCCCAGUAGUC
rnacentral:rRNA from 1 species